rnacentral:rRNA from 1 species
AUGAACGCUGGCGGCGUGCCUAAUACAUGCAAGUCGAGCGAACAGACGAGGAGCUUGCUCCUCUGACGUUAGCGGCGGACGGGUGAGUAACACGUGGAUAACCUACCUAUAAGACUGGGAUAACUUCGGGAAACCGGAGCUAAUACCGGAUAAUAUAUUGAACCGCAUGGUUCAAUAGUGAAAGACGGUUUUGCUGUCACUUAUAGAUGGAUCCGCGCCGCAUUAGCUAGUUGGUAAGGUAACGGCUUACCAAGGCAACGAUGCGUAGCCGACCUGAGAGGGUGAUCGGCCACACUGGAACUGAGACACGGUCCAGACUCCUACGGGAGGCAGCAGUAGGGAAUCUUCCGCAAUGGGCGAAAGCCUGACGGAGCAACGCCGCGUGAGUGAUGAAGGUCUUCGGAUCGUAAAACUCUGUUAUUAGGGAAGAACAAUUGUGUAAGUAACUAUGCACGUCUUGACGGUACCUAAUCAGAAAGCCACGGCUAACUACGUG